rnacentral:rRNA from 1 species
UACGAAGGGGGCUAGCGUUGUUCGGAAUUACUGGGCGUAAAGCGCGCGCAGGCGGCUAUCCAAGUCAGUGGUGAAAGCCCGGAGCUCAACUCCGGAACUGCCAUUGAAACUGUUUAGCUUGAGGACGAGAGAGGUGAGUGGAAUUCCCAGUGUAGAGGUGAAAUUCGUAGAUAUUGGGAAGAACACCGGUGGCGAAGGCGGUGGUCUGGGCCUGAACUGACGCUGAGGAGCGAAAGCCAGGGGAGCAAACGGG